CACGUAGGCGGACUUUUAAGUCAGGGGUGAAAUCCUGGAGCUCAACUCCAGAACUGCCUUUGAUACUGGAAGUCUUGAGUCCGGAAGAGGUAAGUGGAACUGCGAGUGUAGAGGUGAAAUUCGUAGAUAUUCGCAAGAACACCAGUGGCGAAGGCGGCUUACUGGUCCGGUACUGACGCUGAGGUGCGAAAGCGUGGGGAGCAAACA
rnacentral:rRNA from 1 species